GAUGAACGCUGGCGGCGUGCCUAAUACAUGCAAGUCGAGCGAACGGACGAGAAGCUUGCUUCUCUGAUGUUAGCGGCGGACGGGUGAGUAACACGUGGAUAACCUACCUAUAAGACUGGGAUAACUUCGGGAAACCGGAGCUAAUACCGGAUAAUAUUUUGAACCGCAUGGUUCAAAAGUGAAAGACGGUCUUGCUGUCACUUAUAGAUGGAUCCGCGCUGCAUUAGCUAGUUGGUAAGGUAACGGCUUACCAAGGCAACGAUGCAUAGCCGACCUGAGAGGGUGAUCGGCCACACGGGAGCGGAGACACGGUCCAGACUCCUACGGGAGGCAGCAGUAGGGAAUCUUCCGCAAUGGGCGAAAGCCUGACGGAGCAACGCCGCGUGAGUGAUGAAGGUCUUCGGAUCGUAAAACUCUGUUAUUAGGGAAGAACAUAUGUGUAAGUAACUGUGCACAUCUUGACGGUACCUAAUCAGAAAGCCACGGCUAACUACGUG
rnacentral:rRNA from 1 species